UGGGCGGGGCCGAAGGCGUUAGAGGAGCUGCGCGCAGAUUUAAAGACAGACUGGCAACUUCUUCGUGGUUACGGGGUUUAGAUGACGACUUCUUUGUGACUGUUGACGGACUACACGAAUACUGGAUGCCUGUCGUUGGCAGAGUCGACACUUGCAAGUGACAGUGUAAAUGAGAGCACCAGAUCCUGACGGUGACAUUCCUCACAAUGCAACUGUGCAAAGUAAACGGAGCGGAGGAGCCGAGUGGAGGGUCACCGGAGUUGAUUCAUCCUGGCAGCAGUUGUGGGGCAAGGACCGGAGGUACCACCAAGGAUGGCACACCAAUUCGUGCCUUGGCUCACCCAGAUGCACCCACACACACGGGCACGAGGUGAACUCCCCACAUACCUUUGGAGAGGGACCCACAUGAACACAGGGUGGACAUGCAGACGCCACACAGCGUGCAGUGCAGCCUGGCAUUGAUCUGGGCACACAGGCCACUUUAUUCUGCGUUCCUUUGCUUUUGUUUUUUUCCUGCCUCAAGCUAAAGUAACAAGGCGCUCCUCUGAAAAAUCGCUUUACUCAGCAGAUAGCCGUUAAAUUAUUAAAUGUCGUAAGGCCGCUCUUAGCCAAUGCCAGGAGAGCUCUCCAGCAGUAAUGCCAGGCAGAUGCAGAAAGCAGGGCCUUAAGGGCGUCCGCUUCCUCCAGGAGGCCUUCCCACCGACUUGUUAAGUUUUUGUCUUUAUUGUAGCCAGAUGGUGGUCCGCACACCGUUGUCCAACUCAAAGGGGGCUUCCCCCCCUCCCCAUCAUUUCGGAUUGGCGCUUUACUAGUAAAGUGUCCAACAUCACAGAGCAGCCACCGUCACCAACUGGGGCCAAAAUCCUGAGUGGAGAUGGUGUGUGACGGCAAAGCGCCAUCUCAAACGCAUCACCGCUGCUCUUAUUGGGUGUGCAUGGAAACGCCAAUGGGAUGUAAGCGGGUGAUGUGGCGGCUCUCCUGCACUUUGAAAUGUGAACUGCGGCACUGGGCACACGACAGCCAUCACAGGAUCGCUGGUAGCUGCAUUUCCUUUUCUCCGUCUGGCACUGUAAUAUAGCGACCAUUGCAUCUGUUCAGGUGACUCGGCGCCCCUCAUACGCACCCAGCAGACCUCUGGCACCUUCCUCCAGCACAGUGUCCUCUACCUGUGUAAUAUAGCGCCUUUACAGCGCUAUCCGUUACCACGUACUGUACAAGGGCUCUUUGUCUUUAUGAGGCCUUUUGGGUUUGCUUCUUUAAUUUAGCUCCCUUCAUAACUACCUGAUUGUUUCCUGCAAUGCCCUCUGUAAUGUCUUUGUUAUGCAGCCCCCUUCAGUGCCAGCUAUCCCAGCUUGGACACUUUCUUUAUGUGUUCUCUACCUCUGGUCCACUGUAGUGACUUUUUACCACGCUUCAGGCCCCUCUUGUACAGAUCUGUGGACCAUCCUGAAGCCCCCACUCUGCUUCGUGUCACGCUUGAGUGCCCACUCUGUCGGCUUCCACGGCUCCCUGUCAUCUGUGUGCCAUCGCUGAUCGUGCACCACAGCACCUACUUAUAUAUAUAGUGCCUUUCAUCGCCGUAGGUCGUAGGCGGACUGCGGGGCUCCUCCGCCGGCCAGCAGUUAGGACGUAGGCUGGCGCGCUGGUGAUGCCGGCCAUGAGAGGUUACCGCGUUGCUCCCCCGUGUAAGUCGCCACGAGCAGAUGCCCGUUUCCGGUACGUCGUCACUCCUUACUGCAAUGCAUCACCUCGCCCCCCGCCCCUUCCCCCCAGCCA